UAAGCGGAGGAAAAGAAACUAACAAUGAUUCCCUUAGUAACGGCGAGUGAAGGGGGAAAAGCUCAAAUUUUAAAUCGGCAUAGGUUUACCUAGUCGAGUUGUAAUUUGAAGAAGCGUUUACCGCAUCCAGGUCGGCCCAAAUCCUUUGGGAUAAGGUAUCAUGGAGGGUGAGAAUCCCGUCCGGUUGACCUCAGGAUGUUUUACGUUACGCUCUCUAAGAGUCGAGUUGUUUGGGAUUGCAGCUCAAAAUGGGAGGUAAAUUUCUCCUAAGGCUAAAUACAGGCGAGAGACCGAUAGCGAACAAGUACCGUGAGGGAAAGAUGAAAAGAACUUUGAAAAGAGAGUUAAACAGUACGUGAAAUUGUUGAAAGGGAAACGAUUGAAGUCAGUCGUGUCUGUUGGUUUCAGCCUUUACCGGUGUAUUACCAGCAGACGGGUCAACAUCAGUUUUGGACGGUGGAAAAAGACAGGGAGAACGUGGCACCCUCGGGUGUGUUAUAGCUCUCUGUUGCAUACACUGUCUGAGACUGAGGAAUGCAGCUUGCCUUUAUGGCCGGGGUUCGCCCACGUACAAGCUUAGGAUGUUGACAUAAUGGCUUUAAACGACCCGUCUUGAAACACGGACCAAGGAGUCUAACAUAUAUGCGAGUGUU
rnacentral:rRNA from 1 species